GACGAACGCUGGCGGCGUGCUUAACACAUGCAAGUCGAACGGAAAGGCCCUGCUUUUGUGGGGUGCUCGAGUGGCGAACGGGUGAGUAACACGUGAGUAACCUGUCCUUGACUUUGGGAUAACUUCAGGAAACUGGGGCUAAUACCGGAUAGGAGCUCCUGCUGCAUGGUGGGGGUUGGAAAGUUUCGGCGGUUGGGGAUGGACUCGCGGCUUAUCAGCUUGUUGGUGGGGUAGUGGCUUACCAAGGCUUUGACGGGUAGCCGGCCUGAGAGGGUGACCGGCAAAUUUGGGACUGAGAUCCGCCCAGGCUCCUACGGGGAGCAAGAGGGGGGAAAAUUUGAAAAAGGGGCGGAGGCUUAAUGAGCCACGCCCGCGGGGGGAAUACGGCCCUUCGGGUGGUAACCGGUUUCCCCCUGGGCCGAGGGGUGGGUGCGGGUAAGGGUUAAGAAGCACCGGCUAACUACGUG
rnacentral:rRNA from 1 species